rnacentral:rRNA from 1 species
GUGCCAGCAGCCGCGGUAAUACGGGGGGGGCAAGCGUUGUUCGGAAUUACUGGGCGUAAAGGGCGCGCAGGCGGCUAGAGAAGUUCUGGGUGAAAGCCCCCGGCUCAACCGGGGAAGGUCCUGGAAAACCAUCUGGCUGGAGUGCUGGAGAGGCAAGCGGAAUUUCUGGUGUAGCGGUGAAAUGCGUAGAUAUCAGAAGGAACAUCGGAGGCGAAGGCGGCUUGCUGGACAGACACUGACGCUGAGGCGCGAAAGCCAGGGGAGCGAACGGGAUUAGAUACCCCGGUAGUCC